AGCAAUACGUCAGCGGCAGACGGGUGAGUAACGCGUGGGAACGUACCUUUUGGUUCGGAACAACACAGGGAAACUUGUGCUAAUACCGGAUAAGCCCUUACGGGGAAAGAUUUAUCGCCGAAAGAUCGGCCCGCGUCUGAUUAGCUAGUUGGUGUGGUAACGGCGCACCAAGGCGACGAUCAGUAGCUGGUCUGAGAGGAUGACCAGCCUCACUGGGACUGAGACACGGCCCAGACUCCUACGGGAGGCAGCAGUGGGGAAUAUUGGACAAUGGGCGCAAGCCUGAUCCAGCCAUGCCGCGUGGGUGAUGAAGGCCCUAGGG
rnacentral:rRNA from 1 species